AUUGAACGCUGGCGGCAGGCCUAACACAUGCAAGUCGAGCGAGCGGCGGACGGGUGAGUAAUGUAUGGGGAACUGCCCGAUAGAGGGGGAUCACUACUGGAAACGGUGGCUAAUACCGCAUACUCUCGGAUGUGCCCAGAUGGGAUUAGCUAGUAGGUGGGGUAAAGGGUCACCUAGGCGACGAUCGCUAGUUGGUCUGAGAGGAUGACCAGCCACACUGGGACUGAGACACGGUCCAGACUCCGACAGGAGGCAGCAGUGGGGAAGAUUGCACAAUGGGCGCAAGCCUGAUGCAUCCCUGCCGCGUGUAUGAAGAAGGCCUUAGGGUUGUAAAGUACUUUCAGCGAGGAGGCGUUACUCGCAGAAGAAGCACCGGCUAACUCCGUGCCAGCAGCCGCGGUAAUAC
rnacentral:rRNA from 1 species